rnacentral:lncRNA from 1 species
CGGGGCGGAGCCUGGGGCACAAUCCCGCCCCCUUCCUGCUACACCCACUGCAGGCCGCGCCUGGCCUUGAUGGGCAGACGUAUUGGCCUGUGGAAAGGGGGUGGGCGGAGCCUCUGCGGCCAGAUGGGUGGGGAUUCAACAUCCUCUUUCCGCCCCACCUCCACCCGCUCCACCUUCCCCCGCGCUUCCUAGGCGGGAGCCCCGCCCUCUAGGGCGGGUCCAACGGACAGCCAGGUUCUAGGACAAGGAUUGACACAGGGGGAAUCCAAUCAGGAGGCGGCGACUCGGGGCGCGGAGAGCUCCGGGCCGGGGUUUUGGUGCCUUGCCUGGGCCGGGGCGAGGCCCUGCGGGAGCCGACUGGGAAGGUCUGGAACUCUGACACCCCGCCCCGCGAGCUGUGCUCUCAGUCUCAUGUCAUCCCACCACAAGGACAGAUAUUAAGAUCCGCACGUUGCUGCCUUUCAGCCUCCAAACCUUCGCUCUGGCCGUUCUCUCCACCUGGAAUACCCUUCCGAGCCUCUCUUCACCUCCAUGUCAUUAACUCGCAUACAUCCUUUCAGAUAUUUCCUGAGGGCUUGUGAUUUGCCAGAUCCUGUACCAGGUGCUGGAACUUGGUGAUAGACAAUCCACAGUCUCUGCUCUGAAGACAUCCAUGCAGGUACUAACAGGUCAGCCUGGUAAAUCCUGCGAAGGCUUCAGCACAGGGUGCUGUUGGGGAAAGAGGAGAUGGGGUGUGUAGGGUAAGGGGGAAUAGCAGCUCAUUCCAGACAGGAAAAACUGGGUGCGUAGCCCAGAGGGGAGAAGACAGUCUGUGCACAAGCUCAGUGAAAGGGGAGGGAAUGUCAAGAAGGCAGCAGGAGUUGGAAGGGGCAAGGCCCUGCAGCAGAUAUGCAGUCCUGGGACCCUCAGCAUCACAGCAGCAACCUCACCUGGAGCCUUUAGAAAUGCAGUCUCAGCUGGACAUGGUGGCUCAUGCCUGUAAUCCCAGCACUUUAGGAGGCCGAGGCGG